rnacentral:rRNA from 1 species
AUUGAACGCUGGCGGCAGGCCUAACACAUGCAAGUCGAGCGAGCGGCGGACGGGUGAGUAAUGUAUGGGGACUGCCCGAUAGAGGGGGAUAACUACUGGAAACGGUGGCUAAUACCGCAUACUAUCGGAUAACCCAUAUGGGAUUAGCUAGUAGGUGGGGUAAAGGCUCACCUAGGCGACGAUCUCUAGCUGGUCUGAGAGGAUGAUCAGCCACACUGGGACUGAGACACGGCCCAGACUCCUACGGAGGCAGCAGUGGGGAAUAUUGCACAAUGGGCGCAAGCCGGAUACAGCCAUGCCGCGUGUAUGAAGAAGGCCUUAGGAUUGUAAAGCACUUUAAGUUGGGAGGCGUUACCGACAGAAUAAGCACCGGCUAACUCUGUGCCAGCAGCCGCGGUAAUAC